rnacentral:rRNA from 1 species
GACGAACGCUGGCGGCGUGCUUAACACAUGCAAGUCGAGCGGUAAGGCCCUUUCGGGGGUACACGAGCGGCGAACGGGUGAGUAACACGUGGGUGACCUGCCCUCAGCUCUGGGAUAAGCCUGGGAAACCGGGUCUAAUACUGGAUAUGACUCCAUGACGCAUGUUGUGGGGUGGAAAGCCUUGUGCGGCUGAGGAUGGGCCCGCGGCCUAUCAGCUUGUUGGUGGGGUGANGGCCCUACCAAGGCGACGACGGGUAGCCGGCCUGAGAGGGCGACCGGCCGCACUGGGACUGAGACACGGCCCAGACUCCUACGGGAGGCAGCAGUGGGGAAUCUUGCGCAAUGGGCGAAAGCCUGACGCAGCGACGCCGCGUGAGGGAUGAC